rfam:Gossypium arboreum cultivar AKA8401 contig_70419_1, whole genome shotgun sequence.
AAAUAAAAGCGAUGUUGGUGCGGUUCAAUCCGAAAACGAAUUUACAAUCGUAAAAUACGAUAUCAGAUUGAGCCGCGCCAAUAUCACUUUCCGCAAG